AGGACGAACGCUGGCGGCGUGCUUAACACAUGCAAGUCGAGCGGAAAGGCCCUUCGGGGUACUCGAGCGGCGAACGGGUGAGUAACACGUGAGCAACCUGCCCUUAGCUCUGGGAUAGCUCCGGGAAACCGGAAUUAAUACCGGAUAUUACACCGGCUGGCAUCGGCUGGUGUGGAAAGAUUUAUCGGCUAAGGAUGGACUCGCGGCCUAUCAGCUUGUUGGUGGGGUAGAAGCCUACCAAGGCGACGACGGGUAG
rnacentral:rRNA from 1 species